UACGUAGGUGGCAAGCGUUGUCCGGAUUUACUGGGCGUAAAGAGCGCGCAGGCGGUCGGUCAAGUCGCGUGUGAAAGCCCCCGGCUCAACUGGGGAGGGUCACGCGAUACUGAUCGACUCGAAGGCAGGAGAGGGUAGUGGAAUUCCCGGUGUAGUGGUGAAAUGCGUAGAUAUCGGGAGGAACACCAGUGGCGAAGGCGACUACCUGGCCUGUUCUUGACGCUGAGGCGCGAAAGCUAGGGGAGCAAACGGG
rnacentral:rRNA from 1 species